GCCUCGGUGGUGAAAUUGGUAGACACAGCGGACUUAAAAUCCGCCGCUUCCCUAACCGGAGCGUGCCGGUUCGAUUCCGGCCCGAGGCACCA
rnacentral:tRNA from 1 species